GCCAUCCGUCCGGGAGAGCGCGCGACUGUAUCGUCAUUCGCGCCGCCGAAGGGGAAUCACCCGAAAACUCUCAGGCACCAUGGACCGGGCGGAUCGG
rnacentral:ncRNA from 2 species